UAAGGGAAUCAAAUGUCGAAU
rnacentral:piRNA from 1 species